CCUACGGGUGGCAGCAGUGGGGAAUAUUGGACAAUGGGGGCAACCCUGAUCCAGCCAUGCCGCGUGUGUGAAGAAGGCCCUCGGGUUGUAAAGCACUUUCAGUGGGGAAGAACGCCUGGUGGUUAAUACCCAUCAGGAAAGACAUCACUCACAGAAGAAGCACCGGCUAACUCCGUGCCAGCAGCCGCGGUAAUACGGAGGGUGCGAGCGUUAAUCGGAAUUACUGGGCGUAAAGCGCGCGUAGGUGGCUUGAUAAGCCGGUUGUGAAAGCCCCGGGCUCAACCUGGGAACGGCAUCCGGAACUGUCAAGCUAGAGUGCAGGAGAGGAAGGUAGAAUUCCCGGUGUAGCGGUGAAAUGCGUAGAGAUCGGGAGGAAUACCAGUGGCGAAGGCGGCCUUCUGGACUGACACUGACACUGAGGUGCGAAAGCGUGGGUAGCAAACAGGAUUAGAUACCCCAGUAGUC
rnacentral:rRNA from 1 species